GUAGGGAAUAUUGGUCAAUGGACGAAAGUCUGAACCAGCCAUUCCGCGUGCAGGAAGAAGAUUCUAUGGAUUGUAAACUGCUUUUAGCAGAGAAGAAACGCCUUCAUUGAUGAGGGUUUGACGGUAUCUGAGGAAUAAGCACCGGCUAACUCCGUGCCAGCAGCCGCGGUAAUACGGGGGGUGCAAGCGUUAUACGGAAUCACUGGGUUUAAAGGGUGCGUAGGCGGGAAAUUAAGUCAGUGUUGAAAGUCUGUUGCUUAACGAUAGAAUUGCCGUUGAUACUGAUUUUCUUGAAUUGGGUUGAGGUUAGCGGAAUGUGACAUGUAGCGGUGAAAUGCAUAGAUAUGUCAUGGAACACCAAUUGCGAAGGCAGCUAGCUGGGCCUUGAUUGACGCUGAGGCACGAAAGCGUGGGUAGCGAACAGGAUUAGAAACCCGGGUAGUCC
rnacentral:rRNA from 1 species